rnacentral:rRNA from 1 species
AGUGAACGCUGGCGGUAGGCCUAACACAUGCAAGUCGAACGGCAGCACAGUAAGAGCUUGCUCUUACGGGUGGCGAGUGGCGGACGGGUGAGGAAUACAUCGGAAUCUACUUUUUCGUGGGGGAUAACGUAGGGAAACUGACGCUAAUACCGCAUACGACCUACGGGUGAAAGCAUGGGAUCUUCGGACCUUGCGCGAUUGAAUGAGCCGAUGUCGGAUUAGCUAGUUGGCGGGGUAAAGGCCCACCAAGGCGACGAUCCGUAGCUGGUCUGAGAGGAUGAUCAGCCACACUGGAACUGAGACACGGUCCAGACUCCUACGGGAGGCAGCAGUGGGGAAUAUUGGACAAUGGGCGAAAGCCUGAUCCAGCCAUACCGCGUGGGUGAAGAAGGCCUUCGGGUUGUAAAGCCCUUUUGUUGGGAAAGAAAAGCAGCAGGUUAAUACCCCGCUGUUCUGACGGUACCCAAAGAAUAAGCACCGGCUAACUUCGUG